rnacentral:rRNA from 1 species
GACGAACGCUGGCGGCGUGCCUAAUACAUGCAAGUAGAACGCUGAAGGAGGAGCUUGCUCUUCUGGAUGAGUUGCGAACGGGUGAGUAACGCGUAGGUAACCUGCCUGGUAGCGGGGGAUAACUAUUGGAAACGAUAGCUAAUACCGCAUAACAGUAGAUGUUGCAUGACAUUUGCUUAAAAGGUGCAAUUGCAUCACUACCAGAUGGACCUGCGUUGUAUUAGCUAGUUGGUGGGGUAACGGCUCACCAAGGCGACGAUACAUAGCCGACCUGAGAGGGUGAUCGGCCACACUGGGACUGAGACACGGCCCAGACUCCUACGGGAGGCAGCAGUAGGGAAUCUUCGGCAAUGGACGGAAGUCUGACCGAGCAACGCCGCGUGAGUGAAGAAGGGUUUCGGAUCGUAAAGCUCUGUUGUAAGAGAAGAACGAGUGUGAGAGUGGAAAGUUCACAAUGUGACGGUAUCUUACCAGAAAGGGACGGCUAACUACGUG